UACGUAGGGGCUAGCGUUGUCCGGAUUUAUUGGGCGUAAAGAGCGUGUAGGCGGCCAGGUAGGUCUGGUGUGAAAACUCGAGGCUUAACCUCGAGAUGUCAUCGGAAACCAUUUGGCUAGAGUCCGGAAGAGGAGAGUGGAAUUCCUGGUGUAGCGGUGGAAUGCGUAGAGAUCGGGAAGAACAUCAGUGGCGAAGGCGGCCUGCUGGCUGUUGCUGACGCUGAGGCGCGACAGCGUGGGGAGCAAACAGG
rnacentral:rRNA from 1 species